GAUGAAGAACGUAGCAAAAUGCGAUAAGUAAUGCGAAUUGCAGAAUUCAGUGAGUCAUCGAAUCUUUGAACGCACAUUGCGCCCUGUGGUAUUCCGCAGGGCAUGCCUGUUCGAGCGUCAUUUCAACCCUCAAGCUCUGCUUGGUGUUGGGCCCUGCCCGCUGCGGCCGGCCCUAAAGACAGUGGCGGUGCCGCCUGGCCCUGAGCGUAGUACAUCUCUCGCUCCAGUGCCCGGUGGUAGCCUGCCAGAACCCCAACUCUCGUGGUUGACCUCGGAUCAGGUAGGGAUACCCGCUGAACUUAAGCAUAUCAUAAGCGGAGGA
rnacentral:misc_RNA from 1 species